CUACGUGCCAGCAGCCGCGGUAAUACGGAAGGUCCGGGCGUUAUCCGGAUUUAUUGGGUUUAAAGGGAGCGUAGGCUGGAGAUUAAGUGUGUUGUGAAAUGUAGACGCUCAACGUCUGAAUUGCAGCGCAUACUGGUUUCCUUGAGUACGCACAACGUUGGCGGAAUUCGUCGUGUAGCGGUGAAAUGCUUAGAUAUGACGAAGAACUCCGAUUGCGAAGGCAGCUGACGGGAGCGCAACUGACGCUUAAGCUCGAAGGUGCGGGUAUCGAACAGGAUUAGAUACCCUGGUAGUCCGCACAGUAAACGAUGGAUGCCCGCUGUUGGUACCUGGUAUCAGCGGCUAAGCGAAAGCAUUAAGCAUCCCACCUGGGGAGUACGCCGGCAACGGUGAAACUCAAAGGAAUUGACGGGGGCCCGCACAAGCGGAGGAACAUGUGGUUUAAUUCGAUGAUACGCGAGGAACCUUACCCGGGCUUGAA
rnacentral:rRNA from 1 species